AUUGAACGCUGGCGGCAGGCCUAACACAUGCAAGUCGAGCGAGCGGCGGACGGGUGAGUCAUGUCUGGGAAACUGCCUGAUGGAGGGGGCUAACUACUGGAAACGGUCGCUAAUACCGCAUACCAUCAGAUGAACCCAUAUGGGAUUAGCUUGUAGGUGAGGUAACGGCUAACCUAGGCGACUAUCCCUAGCUGGUCUGAGAGGAUGAUCAGCCACACUGGGACUGAGACACGGCCCAGACUCCUACGGGAGGCAGCAGUGGGGAAUAGUGCACAAUGGGCGCAAGCCUGAUGCAGCCAUGCCGCGUGUAUGAAGAAGGCCUUCGGGUUGUAAAGUACUUUCAGUCGGGAGGCGUUACCGACAGAAGAAGCACCGGCUAACUCCGUGCCAGCAGCCGCGGUAAUAC
rnacentral:rRNA from 1 species